rnacentral:rRNA from 1 species
GACGAACGCUGGCGGCCUGCUUAACACAUGCAAGUCGAACGAUGAUGCCCAGCUUGCUGGGUGGAUUAGUGGCGAACGGGUGAGUAACACGUGAGUAACCUGCCCCUGACUCUGGGAUAAGCGUUGGAAACGACGUCUAAUACUGGAUAUGACUGCCGGCCGCAUGGUCUGGUGGUGGAAAGAUUUUUUGGCUGGGGAUGGACUCGCGGCCUACCAGCUUGUUGGUGAGGUAAUGGCUCACCAAGGCGACGACGGGUAGCCGGCCUGAGAGGGUGACCGGCCACACUGGGACUGAGACACGGCCCAGACUCCUACGGGAGGCAGCAGUGGGGAAUAUUGCACAAUGGGCGAAAGCCUGAUGCAGCAACGCCGCGUGAGGGAUGACGGCCUUCGGGUUGUAAACCUCUUUUAGUAGGGAAGAAGCGAAAGUGACGGUACCUGCAGAAAAAGCACCGGCUAACUACGUGCCAGCAGCCGCCGUAA